GCCCACAUAGCUCAGUUGGUAGAGCGCAUCCUUGGUAAGGAUGAGGUCACCAGUUCAAAUCUGGUUGUGGGCUCCA
rnacentral:tRNA from 1 species